rnacentral:misc_RNA from 1 species
AAGUCGUAACAAGGUUUCCGUAGGUGAACCUGCGGAAGGAUCAUUACCGAGAUAGGGUCCUUCGGGGCCCGACCUCCAACCCUUUAUCUAUCAACCUCUGUUGCCUCGGCGGGCCGCCGACGCUUCGGCGUCGCCGUCGGCCUUUGCGCUCUCGAGUGCCCGCCGAAGGAACCCUUUAAAACCCUUCAGCAAACGAUCAAUCUGAGAAAUAUUUUAAAUACUUCAAAACUUUCAACAACGGAUCUCUUGGUUCUG